GGGCCCAUAGCUCAGCUGGGAGAGCGCAUCGCUGGCAGCGAUGAGGUCAGGGGUUCGAUCCCCCUUGGGUCCACCA
rnacentral:tRNA from 3 species